GCCCUCUCAGGGUCGCACCGCGAGAGUUUCCAGAACUCUUCCAGUCUUGACUACAGGAGGGAGAGUCAAGCAUAGGCCUACCCAUUCCAUUCCUAGCUUGGCCAGUGGCUAGUGAGUGGAAGGCAAUGUGCUGCAAGU